GCGGCGGUGGCGGAACUGGCAGACGCGUACGUUUGAGGGGCGUAUGGGGUAACCCGUGUGGGUUCAAGUCCCACCCGCCGCACCA
rnacentral:tRNA from 1 species